GGCAGGUCGGGCAAUCGCGUUAAAGCAUUUUAACGAGGAAGGUCCGGACUCCAUAGAGCAAGAUAGCGGCUAACAGCCGUCUGGCGACUCGCAAGACAAGCCAAGGACUAGGGCCACAGAGACGAGACUGCGUUGGGGGCAUAUUUAUUAUAUAUGCACUGGUACGGCUAUCUCCGUACUGCUUAGUUGAUUUUUUCAACUAUAACAAUGCAGGGUGAAACGCGGUAACCUCUAUCUGGAGCAACAUCAAAUAGGCAUGCGCGGGGUUAUCCCCACAGGGCGGCUCGUCCCAGCAUGCGGGUAGAUGGCUCGAGCCCAUAAGCAAUUAUGGGCCUAGACGAAUGAUUGCCAGCCUUCGGGCUUACAAAAUCCGGCCUAUAGACCUGUUCCA
rnacentral:RNase_P_RNA from 1 species